UGCGCGACGGCGCCGUGCCCGACGCGCUGCUGGUGCCCGUGGGCAUCGCCUACGACCUGGCUCCGGGCGGGCUGCAGCAGCGUGCAGCGGUGAGAGCAGGGCUCACACAUCCCUGGCACUGCCCUGGGAUCAGCGUUCCCCAAACCCCUGGGAAACGCUGCUCCCUCAUCCCUGGGGAGAUCCCUGGGGAGCGGCAUGGCCCGGAUCUCUGGGGGCAUCCCUGGGGGUGGCAUCCCCCCGAAUGUGCCACUGACCCCUCGUGCCCUGUCCUGGCAGCCCCCGGAGCCCCUGGGGCUGGGCUCGUGUCUGCGGGCAGCGUUCCAGGCCCUGUGCUGCCGCCACCAUGGCUUUGCCCGCGUGGAUUUCUCUCAGCCCUUCUCCCUACGGGAGUUUGUGGACAACAACCUGGUGGGGCCCAUGCUCAGAGGGAGUCCCCCGGAGCAGCUGCUGCUUCCCACCAUCCUGGGCAGGGGCCUGCUGGAUGUGGGGAGUGUGGGGAAUCCGGGCCCCACUCUGGGGACAGAAGAGGAGAUUUUGGUGACAGCACUGGGGCUGCACGCACUGAGCGGUGAGGGGCGGGCUGGGGGGUCCCUGCAUCCCUUG
rnacentral:lncRNA from 1 species